rnacentral:rRNA from 1 species
UACGGGGGGGGUAAGCGUUGUUCGGAAUUACUGGGCGUAAAGGGCGUGUAGGCGGCCAACUAAGUCCGACGUGAAAUCCCCGGGCUCAACCUGGGAACUGCAUUUGUGACUGCACGGCUCGAGUGCGGCAGAGGGGGAUGGAAUUCCGCGUGUAGCAGUGAAAUGCGUAGAUAUGCGGAGGAACACCGAUGGCGAAGGCAAUCCCCUGGGCCUGCACUGACGCUCAUGCACGAAAGCGUGGGGAGCAAACAGG